rnacentral:rRNA from 1 species
UUGUAUAAUGCGCUGACAACAAUAUUGGUUAACAUUGAUGAGCAUGCAAGGAUAUUUGAUUUCGACAGUGAAUUGCAGCUUGCAAAGCUUCAGCAUUCCAAUCUUAUUAGGUUGCUGGGGUGGUGCAUUCAUGGGAAAGAAAGGAUUCUUGUCUAUGAGUUCAUGCAAAAUAGUUCCUUGGACCAUUACAUAUCUGACAGAACAAAAGGGCAAUUGCUAGACUGGUCUAAGCGAUUCAAGAUAAUUAUAGGUUUAACAGAGGGCCUUGUUUACCUGCAUAAAGGUUCCAUGUCCUGCCUUGUCCAUAGAGACUUGAAACCACAUAAUAUCCUCUUGGAUUAUAACAUGAGCCCGAAGAUGACUGAUUUUGGAUCAGCUAGGACACUGAGUUCAGAUAUAGAAGAAGGGCGCACAAGUAGGGUCGUGGGAACCAGUGGUUACAAAGCUCCAGAGUAUGCCUCUCGAGGAGUUUACUCGACGAAGAUAGAUGUGUUCAGCUUUGGCAUUUUCGUUCUGGUGAUUAUUAGUGGCCAAAAGAAUACCAUACUCGACAAGCGAGGGGAUACUGUUGGUGAUCUUGUACGAGAUGCCUGGCAUAUGUGGAAGGACCCAAGGUUGCAUGAGCUUGUGGAUCCGUUGUUAGGGGACAGAUAUGAAGUCGCUGAGAUAACGAGAUGCGCUCAAGUGGCACUGCUUUGUGCCCAGGAAGAUCCAGCAGAUCGACCCGCCAUGACAGAUGUUGCUGCAAUGCUGAACUCUGAAAGCAUAAGCUUAACAAUGGAGCCUAAGCAGCCCGCUGCGCUAAUCCAUGGGUGUGCCGACAGAGGCACGACAACAACAUACAUGGGCCAAUCAAGCAGUACAAUAGAAGUAACCAUAACGAGUUCAGCUCCAAUGUCGACCAGAGUUCAAAUCAUUCUUGACCCGGAGGUUUGA